rnacentral:hammerhead_ribozyme from 1 species
ACAAGCUGACGAGUCCCAAAUAGGACGAAAAGCGCGUCCUGGAU